UGCUAUCGGAUUGAUACUAAGCCAUGCGAGUCAUUGUAGCAGUACAAGGCAGACGGCUCAGUAACGCGUAGUCAAUCUACCCUAUGGACGGGAAUAACCUCGGGAAACUGAGAAUAAUGCCCGAUAGAACAUUAUGCCUGGAAUGGUUUAUGUUUCAAAUGAUUUAUCGCCAUAGGAUGGGACUGCGGCCUAUCAGUUUGUUGGUGAGGUAAUGGCCCACCAAGACUAUUACAGGUACGGGCUCUGAGAGGAGUAGCCCGGAGAUGGGUACUGAGACACGGACCCAGGCCCUAUGGGGCGCAGCAGGCGAGAAAACUUUGCAAUGUGCGAAAGCACGACAAGGUUAAUCCGAGUGGUUUCUGCUAAAGAAACCUUUUGUCAGUCCUAGAAACACUAACGAAUAAGGGGUGGGCAAGUUCUGGUGUCAGCCGCCGCGGUAAAACCAGCACCUCAAGUGGUCAGGAUGAUUAUUGGGCCUAAAGCAUCCGUAGCUCGUUUUGUAAGUUUUCGGUUAAAUCCAUGCGCUUAACGUAUGGGCUGCCGGGAAUACUGCAUAACUAGGAAGUGGGAGAGGUAGACGGUACUCGGGAGGAAGGGGUAAAAUCCUUUGAUCUCUUGAUGACCACCUGUGGCGAAGGCGGUCUACCAGAACACGUUCGACGGUGAGGGAUGAAAGCUGGGGGAGCAAACCGGAUUAGAUACCCGGGUAGUCCCAGCUGUAAACUAUGCAAACUCAGUGAUGCAUUGGCUUAUGGCCAAUGCAGUGCUGCAGGGAAGCCGUUAAGUUUGCCGCCUGGGAAGUACGUACGCAAGUAUGAAACUUAAAGGAAUUGGCGGGGGAGCACCACAAGGGGUGAAGCCUGCGGUUCAAUUGGAUUCAACGCC
rnacentral:rRNA from 1 species